UAAGUAGGCAGAGGAUGAGAUACACAACUGGAUUGGCACAGUAGUUGCGAAUGAACAGCAAAUUGCUCAAAUUGAAUUUGGGGACACCUGGCCCUCAACAUGAAAUCUCUGAAUGCUCCACCAACAAAGGCUCAGGAACAAAACCAUUCUGGAGGGGAUUGUGAAAGUGCCAACAGGGGUGAGAAUCCUGUGGUUCUUGCAGACCUUGUUCACGGUGUCUGCUUUCCAGAGUCAUGCUCCUUGGAACUGGAGUGCAAAGUGGGUGGUAGAUCAAUGACCAAGCCAAAACAUUCAUUGCUGGCUUUCUUUCUUUUGCAAUGCUGUGGCAUUCCACAAAAGCCGCAGGGUUACACACACUCUCCUUGACUGCAGCGUGCAAAUGAUCCUUCCGCAGGUUCACCUGACUUCUCCUUCCUCUAAGUGAUAAGGUUCACUGAACUUCUCGCUGCACUUCUCAGGAGCUGACGGGCACAACAGGCCCAAACUGUUCACCGGACCACUCAAUCGGUAGGAGCGACGGGCGGUGUGUACAAAAGGCAGGGACACAAUCAAUGCAAGUUGAUGACAUACAUUUACUAGGAAUUCCUCGUUCAGGAGCAAUAGUUGCAAUGUUCCAUCCCCAUCACGACGUAGGUUUGCAAGACUGCCCAACCUCUACAGGCAAGAUGGGGCACUCAGUGAGUACAUCAGUGCAGCGCGCGUGCAGCGCAGAACAUCUAAGGGCAUCACAGACUUGUUAUUGCCUAGAAAUGGCCACAGAAUCGCAAUUUCGUGUGACUACUUAGCAGGUUAAGGUCUCGUUCGUCAUCGGAAUUAACCCGACAAAUCACUCCACCAACUAAGAACGGCCAUGCACCACCACCCACAGAAUCAAGGAAGAGCUGUCAAUCUGUCAAUCCAACUUGUGGCAGGACCUCGUAAGUUUCCCCGUGAAGCAGCUCCAUGGCAACACUGUGCAUGGCUCAUUAACAGAGUCACAACCCAGGUGUCUCAAAGAUUAAGCCAUGCAUGUCUCAGUUUAAGCAGCUCCAUAGCAACACUGUGCAUGGCUCAUUGGGUUGUGGUCCUGCUACAUGGAUAUCUUCGGCAUUUCUGCAGCUAAUACAUGCACCAGCAUUCACCUGUGGUGAGUUGUGGUUGUUGCACUCAGAAUUAAUGCAAGCUGUGCUUGAUGACCAGAUGAAUCAUUACAACUGCAUGGAUUGUGGUUUGUACACUGUUGAUGCUCUAUCAUUCUGACCUAUCAGCUUCCGAUGGCAGGGUAAAGGCCUACCGUGGCAGUGACAGGUGACUUGGGAGUGU
rnacentral:rRNA from 1 species